GCUCAACCGGGGAGGGUCAUUGGAAACUGGGGAACUUGAGUGCAGAAGAGGAGAGUGGAAUUCCACGUGUAGCGGUGAAAUGCGUAGAGAUGUGGAGGAACACCAGUGGCGAAGGCGACUCUCUGGUCUGUAACUGACGCUGAGGCGCGAAAGCGUGGGGAGCGAACAGGAUUAGAUACCCUGGUAGUCCAUGCCGUAAACGAUGAGUGCUAAGUGUUAGAGGGUUUCCGCCCUUUAGUGCUGCAGCAAACGCAUUAAGCACUCCGCCUGGGGAGUACGGUCGCAAGACUGAAACUCAAAGGAAUUGACGGGGGCCCGCACAAGCGGUGGAGCAUGUGGUUUAAUUCGAAGCAACGCGAAGAACCUUACCAGGUCUUGACAUCCUCUGACAACCCUAGAGAUAGGGCUUCCCCCUCGGGGGCAGAGUGACAGGUGGUGCAUGGUUGUCGUCAGCUCGUGUCGUGAGAUGUUGGGUUAAGUCCCGCAACGAGCGCAACCCUUGAUCUUAGUUGCCAGCAUUCAGUUGGGCACUCUAAGGUGACUGCCGGUGACAAACCGGAGGAGGGUGGGGAUGACGUCAAAUCAUCAUGCCCCUUAUGACCUGGGCUACACACGUGCUACAAUGGGCAGAACAAAG
rnacentral:rRNA from 1 species